rnacentral:rRNA from 1 species
CGAGCGAACAGAAGGGAGCUUGCUCCCGGAUGUUAGCGGCGGACGGGUGAGUAACACGUGGGUAACCUGCCUGUAAGACUGGGAUAACUCCGGGAAACCGGAGCUAAUACCGGAUAGUUCCUUGAACCGCAUGGUUCAAGGAUGAAAGACGGUUUCGGCUGUCACUUACAGAUGGACCCGCGGCGCAUUAGCUAGUUGGUGGGGUAAUGGCUCACCAAGGCGACGAUGCGUAGCCGACCUGAGAGGGUGAUCGGCCACACUGGGACUGAGACACGGCCCAGACUCCUACGGGAGGCAGCAGUAGGGAAUCUUCCGCAAUGGACGAAAGUCUGACGGAGCAACGCCGCGUGAGUGAUGAAGGUUUUCGGAUCGUAAAGCUCUGUUGUUAGGGAAGAACAAGUGCGAGAGUAACUGCUCGCACCUUGACGGUACCUAACCAGAAAGCCACGGCUAACUACGUGCCAGCAGCCGCGGUAAUACGUAGGUGGCAAGCGUUGUCCGGAAUUAUUGGGCGUAAAGGGCUCGCAGGCGGUUUCUUAAGUCUGAUGUGAAAGCCCCCGGCUCAACCGGGGAGGGUCAUUGGAAACUGGGAAACUUGAGUGCAGAAGAGGAGAGUGGAAUUCCACGUGU